GUGAAUGGUCUGCCGAAAUCCAAUAUGUUGCCUUGCAUGGACGCGGCUCUCAUUUGUUGUUUAGUUUUUUGGUGUCUUGACACACAAAUUGAUUUGUUUCCUUAUCCUGUAAGUUUGAUUUAGAAACCAAAUCGUUAUGAGAUCGUGAUGAUGACUCGGUACCGACUCUGAUGCUCCUAUAUAUACUGCUUACGGGUCUCGGUCAAAGACAUAUCGAAAACACCUAGCAUUUUGCCUCACAUCGGAACUUGCGCCGUUAUCAUAGUCUACUCCAUUCCGAACGCUGGCGUGCAACGGCGUGCGGGAAAGCGGGUCUCUGGAACAUUCAUCUCAUCCUUGUGAUCCUGCACUGAGAAAGGAUGAAUUAGCUUUUUAGAAAAUGUUGUGCGCGAUUGCUCAAGGUCGUCAUCACGAGGCGUGUUUCGUCCAAGUCGAACGGGUACAACUAAUCGCCGUGUUCAUCAUCGUCAACAAUAGAUCGUCAUCAACAUCAUUGUUCCAACA
rnacentral:lncRNA from 1 species